rnacentral:rRNA from 1 species
CAGUAACGGCGAGUGAAGCGGCAAGAGCUCAAAUUUGAAAGCUGGCUCCUUCGGGGUCCGCAUUGUAAUUUGCAGAGGAUGCUUCGGGUGCAGCCCCCGUCUAAGUGCCCUGGAACGGGCCGUCAUAGAGGGUGAGAAUCCCGUAUGGGGCGGGGUGUCUGCGUCCGUGUGAAGCUCCCUUCGACGAGUCGAGUUGUUUGGGAAUGCAGCUCUAAAUGGGUGGUAAAUUUCAUCUAAAGCUAAAUACUGGCCGGAGACCGAUAGCGCACAAGUAGAGUGAUCGAAAGAUGAAAAGCACUUUGAAAAGAGAGUUAAACAGCACGUGAAAUUGUUGAAAGGGAAGCGCUUGCAACCAGACUCGCUCGCGGGGUUCAGCCGGGCUUCGGCCCGGUGUACUUCCCCGCGGGCGGGCCAGCGUCGGUUUGGGCGGCCGGUCAAAGGCCUCCGGAAUGUAGCGCCCUUCGGGGCGCCUUAUAGCCGGGGGUGCAAUGCGGCCAGCCUGGACCGAGGAACGCGCUUCGGCACGGACGCUGGCAUAAUGGUUGUAAACGACCCGUCUUGAAACACGGACCAAGGAGUCUAACAUCUACGCGAGUGUUCGGGUGUCAAACCCGUACGCGCAGUGAAAGCGAACGGAGGUGGGAGCCCCCUCGCGGGGCGCACCAUCGACCGAUCCUGAUGUCUUCGGAUGGAUUUGAGUACGAGCGUAGCUGUGGGGACCCGAAAGAUGGUGAACUAUGCCUGAAUAGGGCGAAGCCAGAGGAAACUCUGGUGGAGGCUCGCAGCGGUUCUGACGUGCAAAUCGAUCGUCAAAUUUGGGUAUAGGGGCGAAAGACUAAUCGAACCAUCUGGUAGCUGGU